rnacentral:rRNA from 1 species
GACGAACGCUGGCGGCGUGCUUAACACAUGCAAGUCGAACGGAAAGGCCCUGCUUUUGUGGGGUGCUCGAGUGGCGAACGGGUGAGUAACACGUGAGUAACCUGCCCUUGACUUUGGGAUAACUUCAGGAAACUGGGGCUAAUACCGGAUAGGAGCUCCUGCUGCAUGGUGGGGGUUGGAAAGUUUCGGCGGUUGGGGAUGGACUCGCGGCUUAUCAGCGUGUUGGUGGGGUAGUGGCUUACCAAGGCUUUGACGGGUAGCCGGCCUGAGAGGGUGACCGGCCACAGUGGGACUGAGAUACGGCCCAGACUCCUACGGGAGGCAGCAGUGGGGAAUAUUGCACAAUGGGCGGAAGCCUGAUGCAGCAUCGCCGCGUGCGGGAUGACGGCCUUCGGGUUGUAAACCGCUUUCGCCUGUGACGAAGCGUGAGUGACGGUAAUGGGUAAAGAAGCACCGGCUAACUACGUG